rnacentral:rRNA from 1 species
AUUGAACGCUGGCGGCAUGCUUUACACAUGCAAGUCGAACGGUAACAGCACUUCGGUGGCUGACGAGUGGCGAACGGGUGAGUAAUGUAUCGGAACGUGCCCAGUAGUGGGGGAUAACUACUCGAAAGAGUGGCUAAUACCGCAUGAGAUCUCUGGAUGAAAGCGGGGGACCGUAAGGCCUCGCGCUACUGGAGCGGCCGAUAUCAGAUUAGGUAGUUGGUGGGGUAAAGGCCUACCAAGCCUGCGAUCUGUAGCUGGUCUGAGAGGACGACCAGCCACACUGGGACUGAGACACGGCCCAGACUCCUACGGGAGGCAGCAGUGGGGAAUUUUGGACAAUGGGCGCAAGCCUGAUCCAGCAAUGCCGCGUGUGUGAAGAAGGCCUGAGGGUUGUAAAGCACUUUCAAUCGUGAAGAAAAGUUGCAGGCUAAUACCCUGUGACCUUGACGUUAACGAUACAAGAAGCACCGGCUAACUCCGUGCC